rnacentral:lncRNA from 1 species
ACUGUGAAGAGGUCCCCGCUGACUCAGGCACAUGCCUCCUCACUAAUGAAGGGCUGUUAGUGAGGGCAUUGACCUUGGUCAGCAGGCUGGAGCUCUCCGUCCGGGGACCACGACAGGGACCAAGAGGGAAGAGAAUCUUCUGGCCUCCCUGCCCAGAGAACUUACUCAAAAACUGAGACACAACUGACCAGGGGUCAACUGGGGUCAGAAACGUGUGCAUACUGUCCUUGCUGAUAAAUGAAUCGGUGAUAACCGUGCAGUGAUAAAUGAAUCAGUGAUAACCGUGCAGUGUCGUCGGAUGCAGGCCCAGGGAUGCUCUGGGUAUCAUGGAGAGAUAGAGUGGCUCCGAAGCCAGCGGGGAGUCCAAAGAGGCAGCUGGGAGGAGCUGGACUGAAUCUCAUUGGAUGACAGAAAUCACAGAGGAUACAGGUUCCAGGCAAGAACAUCAGGAGUAAAAGAUAGUGGGGUGUCAACUCCUUUCCUAACCGCAGCAGGUGACUGCUGGGAUGGGAGCCGCUGGGCACUGGAGAGGCAGGCAGAGGCACCCAGCAGCAAACCAGCAAGAGGACUUUGGGGGAGGUCAGGCAUGCCCUCUAGAACUGGAGCACCUACAGAGUGCAUCAGCCAACGACAGCAGCACACGUUCUCAUCACGGGGGCCAUCACCAAGAUAGAAGCCAUUCUCAGCCAUAAAACGCACCUUAGCAAGUUAUGCAGGUCUGUUCUUAGGGCAAGGCUCACAUCCCAGCCGAGGCCCCGAGGAACACUGAUGGGGAAUCAGACUGUGAGAACGAGGCCGGGGCAACAUCGAUGGGGAUCAGAUUGUGAGAGAAGGAGGAGAAGGAGAAGUGCUGUGAGAGAGGCCAGCCUGGACCAGCUGUGGCUGUGACUUCAACCACUCUGGUGUCCUCAAAGGCAGCAGUGAGGCAGCAGGGAAGGGAAAGUGACAUGCAGGACUCUACUGUGGGACUCUUUCAAGGGGAGUGCAUGCCAUCCCCAUUUGUCUGAGCCCAAAGAGGCUCAAUACUGAGCCCACAAGUGAAUCACAGAUUCUGGGAUGACAGCUGCUCUCUAUAUAACACACACACCGAAUCAGGAAUGCUGCUCUGUGUGGUGUGGUAAUGGCUGGAAACUGAGGCUGGUAGGGAGACGGGCAGUCUCCGUGGGAACCUUCUGCUCUGUUUUGCUGCGAAAGUGGAUGUGAACAAUAAAGUCUGCAAACCAAGCAGAAAAUAAUCAAGUCAAUUCGAGUGGGUCAGAUGAGGCAGAGAGAUGAAGGAAUCAGACCUGCCUGUGGAUACGGCACCUGGGUGGCAUCAGGGACACAAACAUCAGGGGAAGAAAGUCUUCAUCCACAGGACUUGAUCUAUACUUGAUGCUCUAUACUAGAAAAAAAGAAAGCAAGCCCCUACCUCACACAACAUAAAGCAGCCAAUCCACAGUGGAUGAAAAGAACAUCGGAGAAAAUUAAAAUGAGACCUCUAUGACCCCACAGUAGGAAGACUUGUAAGAAAUGACGGGGUGGUGAGAAAAGGAGGGGGAGGGAGGGGUGCGCACAAAGUGGAAUAUGCUCAAAGUGUAUCGAAUACUUGCAUGGAAAUAUCUUACACAACCCUGUAUAAUGGAAUAAAUAUGUUUUU